rnacentral:rRNA from 1 species
GAGUUUGAUCAUGGCUCAGGAUGAACGCUAGCGGCAGGCUUAAUACAUGCAAGUCGAGGGGCAGCAGCUUUAUAGCAAUAUAGAGGCUGGCGACCGGCAAACGGGUGCGGAACACGUACACAACCUUCCUUGAAUAGGGGGAUAGCCCAUAGAAAUGUGGAUUAAUACCCCGUAAUAUAGCGGUGUGGCAUCACACUGUUAUUAUAGUUUCGGCGAUUCGAGAUGGGUGUGCGGCUGAUUAGGUAGUUGGCGGGGUAAAGGCCCACCAAGCCUUCGAUCAGUAGCUGAUGUGAGAGCAUGAUCAGCCACACGGGCACUGAGACACGGGCCCGACUCCUACGGGAGGCAGCAGUAAGGAAUAUUGGUCAAUGGACGCAAGUCUGAACCAGCCAUGCCGCGUGAAGGAUGAAGGUCCUCUGGAUUGUAAACUUCUUUUAUAGGGGGCGAAAAAAGGUCUUUCUAGAUCACUUGACAGUACCCUAUGAAUAAGCACCGGCUAACUCCGUGCCAGCAGCCGCGGUGAUACGGAGGGUGCAAGCGUUAUCCGGAUUCACUGGGUUUAAAGGGUGCGUAGGCGGGUAGGUAAGUCAGAGGUGAAAUCCUGGAGCUUAACUCCAGAACUGCCUUUGAUACUAUCUAUCUUGAAUAUGGUGGAGGUWAGCGGAAUWUGUCAUGUACCGGUGAAAUGCAUAGAUAUGACAUAUAACACCUAUUGCGAAGCRGCUUACUACRCCUAUAUUUGACGCUGAGGCMCGAAAGCGUGGGGAUCAAMRRGAUU